UCCGUAGGUGAACCUGCGGAAGGAUCAUUACUGAUUUGGCAAACCGAGCGUAAGCGAGGUUUUGCGAUCGUCUAUAUUUAAAACCCACACUUUGAAUUAUAUAUUGUAUUUUUAAAUGAUAAAAUAAAAAGAUCACUUUCAACAACGGAUCUCUUGGCUCUCGCAUCGAUGAAGAACGUAGCGAAGUGCGAUAAGUAAUGUGAAUUGCAGAAUUCCGUGAAUCAUCGAAUCUUUGAACGCAAAUUGCACUCUUUGGUAUUCCGAAGAGUAUGCCUGUUUGAGGGUCAGUUAAAUAAAAAUCGGUGUUGUUGCUGCCUUUCGUGGUGACGCUUCGGAUCUGGGUCGUCUUACCUUUGGUUAAGUGACCUAAAAUUUUGCAUGAUUUUUCGAACGUAUUUAAAAUUAUUUACGUACGUUUGUGAUGUCGAAUAUAUAUUAGAUGUGUUCAUUCUCAUGAUUCGCGUCUAUAAUUUUUUUGUAAAAUGACCUCAAAUCAGGUAAGAGUACCCGCUGAACUUAAGCAUAUCAAUAAGCGGAGGAA
rnacentral:rRNA from 1 species